CAGUUUUCCGACAUUGUAAAACAAUAGUCAGUUACGUGAUCACAUAGCAUACUAUCGUACCCAACAAUGAUGGUACAAAGAAAGCAGUGUACGGUGCCUUUUUGAGGGGGUUAACCUAUCGGAGAAACAAGAAAGAGAUUAGCCAAUCUUCUAUUAGUUUUAAAGCAGUCUGCUCACGAGGCAACAAGCAACAGGCAACAUGUGUCCGCCACAUGUUGCCUCGAAUAUUCACUAUGAAUUUUGUUCUACCUAUUCACACGCGGCAACAUCAGAGGACACGCCACACUUUGACAAAAAUUUGUCGCUGGCAAUGUUGCCUCAAAAUAUUCAGCCUGAAUAUUCUCUAUGCGACUUUUUCUGUGCGCGGUUGCUGUCUUCGGGUGAGCAGUUAGAUUUUCUCCGCAAGAUGGCACAGCAUGUUGUUUAUCGAAACUCGACGAAACAAGGUCAAACAAAAGGUAUGGUAAAUAAACUUUAUUCAUUACGUCAUUUUCAUUUUUGCAUAUGAUUGCCCAUGAGAGUGAGAAGGAUAGAAUGAAAUCUCGGAAAAACACAUGCCAACCUAUAUAAUGAAUAACACGAACGCUGUCAAUUAUAUUAGUUUCUUGGUGUGAAAAUGGAAUAAGAGAGCAAAGAUUCACCAAGGUGUUUUACCGCGACAAAUUGCUAUUGUUUGUAUUUUGGACUAAAUGAAAUUUCCGGAAGAAUCGCUUUCGCUUCAUCUGUGAGUAUAAUCUGCAAUGUAUGGUAGAUUCCCGGGUUGAAGGAGAAAAAGUGCUGAAACCUCCGGACGACAGUCUAAUCGAAAGCUAGGUGCUCAAUAUUAUUGUUGGUUUGGGCAUGCUAUGUCAGAUGAUGUGAAAUUAUUCACUUAUGUUGUACUGCGACGCUCAGGUAUCCGAUGAGGACAACACAGGAAGCUUCUUUUUCAGUAGUUUUUAUUCUAGCAAUGAACGGUUGCUCGGAGCUUUUCGUCCAUAUUAAAAUCAUCCACAUUGGCUCAUAGAAAUACUGGAAGCCACUCAUGUGCAACCUCUUGGUGUGCAAUAAGCUAGAAGAGCGUUAACUUAGUGAAGCAAGUUGGUGUAUGUUUGGCAAACAAUUCUAUCACAUGGCAAAGCUGUGCUGGAAGUCGCCGAACCGAAUACUUGAAAAAUAAUGCAGCUGGCGGCUAAUUCGACAUGUAUAUCAGAAACCUUUCUUACAACAGAAUGAUUUGAUUAGACACGUACUAUUCACUAGCUACACAGAAAAGUAUGGAUUUGCUUAUAAUCGCUCAAAGCUCUUUGCCUUCAGCGUUAUUGUUUCCGGCUGAUUUUAAUCGACCAUCAAAUGGAACACAUAAAUCAACGUUUGACACGCUUUUACGCGUGCGAAUUUCUCAGCUAACUGACAAAAUGCACAUAGUAUUUCCCGUAAUUGGACAAGCUGAUUAGCUUUGAGUUGCUACACUUCCAAAAGCUCUUCCGUUAGGCCGUGCUAAUUGCGUGCUGGAUAUAUAGGUCAGUACCGGGUCUAGUUACGGUCACGCUCCACCAUACAUUUACAAACGCUUUUCAUGACCGGCAAUCAUUCGGGUCAGUACUCAAUCAACCAGAAGCCGAUAGCGCAACCUCCGCACUACAAACUUUAUCAAACAUCAAAUUGAAACUAUAACUACACAAAACAGAAGAAGCUUGUUAAAUUCAAAACAUAACCGGUACGCUGAAUUUGGUGAUAGAUUGAUAUUUCAGGCGAAGUAUAUAGCGGCCCUUACACGUUCAAUAUUUUUGUCAAUACUAGAGAGUAUUGACAAAAGUAUUGUACGUGUAAUGGCAAAAAAAUUAUUGACGAUGUGGAUUUCAAACGGGACUGAAAUAUUGUAACAAUAUCGUCAAUACUGGUAUUGACAAAAAUAUUGAACUGUAAGGGCCGCUUAUGACCCUGUGAAAAGAGGAUAACAUCGAUAGCAUGAGCGGAUCUCCAACUAACCAAUAAGCCAACGGACUACUACUGCACUCCAUUGGUACUCCUGGGAUGACUACUCAAGAUAAUCAGUUUCAUUCACAGUCAGCAGGAUUGCCUGAUAAUCACGGUAGUAUUAGUGGCGGUUUAGGGGAACAAGGGGUAAUAUAGUCAUGUUAGGCACCCCUGUUUACGAAUAAAAUAUGAAUCAUUUUCGUUUUUUUUUGCCCAUCGUCGUUAGAAGAUGUAAUAUUUCAAUUAUUGAAUAUAACCAGUAUUUGGUCACAAAAAUACAAAAAUAUCGAGAUGACAAAAAACGAAAAGUGUUUGAAAUAAGAAUUCACAUAAUGUAUGCUUACCAUUCCUGGAAUAUUUUACCUAUUUUUAACUAAUUGUAUAUAAAAAAAUACUUUUCUGUGA